UUAUUUAAAACGCCAACCACGCCUCCCCCGUGGAGGUCCCGUCAAACUGGUAGAUGUUUCGCAAACGAUAAGAAAUUCAAGUGAUAUUUUGAACACCACGUUAGAGCAGCCGCCGGUCACUGACACAAGUUAGAUCCGUUCUACACCGACAUGUCCUGAGUCGCUGCCGUGUCAUCCGUCGGUAAGCUAACGAACGGCUAACGGCUACAUAUCGACGCGGAUGGGCACCACCUCUGUUAGCUCGUGAUUUAAGGUCACCUGUGCAGCGGUGAGAAGAUGCUUCUCCAGAAGUUGUGCUCCAGACUGGGUUCCCGGAACCCGAUCUGCGUCUGGGCCUCGGCCCGUCUCUCCCGGUCUGUCCAGCCACAUGAGCGUGACUCCGAACCCAGGACUCACCUCGGCCCAGGGAUCUCGAGGACCUGUUGUUUAAACACCCUUCACCAGCGGCAGACGCAUAGAAGAAGCGCUCUGCCGGCUUCAGGUGGAUUUACAAGUUUUAACAACACUUUGUUCAUUCACCCCGGGACGCUUACUAAAUGUUGGAGUGGACAGAAUCGUUUUUAUUCAUCAGACAUUGUGAAGUCAAUGUUGAAACCAAGUUUAAAACCAGUGACGGUGCCCGGAAAGAGGGUUCCCAAAGGGCCGAGAACAAAACAACCCUCCCGAGCCAAUCAGCCCGCUCUGAGCGAGGACCAGGAUAUGAUGCACUGUAUUGCCUUUGCAACAGCAGAUCAGUAUCAUUUGCCAACACUUUGCCACGACUUGAUAAGCCACGGCUUCCACGAGGUCGAUUUACCAAGAGAUGCUUCGAAUGUUCUGGUCAUCAGCACGGACGUGGCUGCAAAACCAGAUGACAAUGCUCUCAUGUUCUUCUUCAGGGAAGGCUCAGUAGUUUUCUGGAAUGUUGAGGAGAAAAUGAUGAAAAAGGUCAUGAGAAUAUUGGAACAUCAUGAGAUCCAGCCGUAUGAAGUAGCAUUAGUCCACUGGGAAAAUGAAGAGAUCAACUACACUAUUGGACAAGGAAACACAAAGCUCGAGCGAGGCAACUUUAUUCUGAGCGAUGAAACCGAUCAUCCUGAAGCUGUUCUGGAGAAAUUUGCAUUUUCAAAUGCAUUGUGCUUGUCAGUUAAGCUGGCGAUAUGGGAGGUGUCAUUAGACGACUUUGUAGAGUCAAUUCAAUCAAUUCCAGAGACGCUGAAGUCUGGCAAAAGAGUCAAGUUGUCCUCGGCAGAGGUCAUGCAGAAAAUAGGAGAGCUUUUCUCUUUAAGGCACUGUAUAAACCUGAGGUCCGACCUGCUCCUCACACCGGAUUUCUACUGGGACAGAGAAAACCUGGAAAAGCUCUACGACAAGACCUGUCAGUUCCUCAGCAUCAACCGCAGGGUCAAUGUUGUGAAUGAGAAGCUGGAACAUUGCACACAGUUGACCGACCUCAUGAGGAGCCACCUGAGUGAGAAGCACAGCCUGAGGUUGGAGUGGAUGAUCAUUAUCCUCAUCACUAUAGAGGUUAUGUUUGAACUUGCAAAGAUGAUCUUCUGAGCUGCUCCUCGGACGAUGCACGAAUCUAGAAAUGCACGAGCAGCUUCACAGAAUUGAAUCCUGGACUAAGCAAAGUUAUGUUUCAGCGUCUGCAUGUAUAACUCUUCGUUUAUUCGCAUGUCUGUGGCCAGCGGGAUCACCAGAAGUUUCAAUAUACACAAAAUUGCAGUAGAAGAUGUGCGUGAAAUUUACAGUGUUAAUGGAUGUGUUGGCAGGCAGCAGCUGCACCGUCACAGCAACAAAAUCCAACCCCAGCAUUUUUUGGAAACACACACACACACACACAAAAAAAAAAAAUAUGACGCAUGACUCAGUUACUGCAGAUGAAGAGGAUACAUGGAGUUUAGAAGUAAUGUGGACCAAUCCAGAAUGUGUGGAGGAAAGAAAGAUGUUACCUUGUCGUCAGUGUUGCCAUCCGGCCGAGCAUCCUCCACUGAGCCGCCCUCCUCCUCCUCCUCCUCCUCCGCCGCAUCGCUCCUGCUCUCCCGUUGCGCAGACUGUGCGUCUCCCAUGUCCGGAGCUGCGGCGCGUCACUGUGCGUAAAUAUCCCCGCAGUGGAAAGAGGAGAAGCCGGUGGCUCCGCGAGGACACGAGAGACACUGGCAUCGGCAGUCGGGGGGGGGGGGGAACUAAACCUCCUGUGUUUUGUCUCUCAGCCAAAACACCGCCCAGCGCGGGUCACAUGGACGAUGGAGAGUCGAGCCCGGCCCGGCCCAGAUCGACCCGACCGGGCCUGGCACCGGCACCGGCACCGGCACGCCCCCCUCUGCAGCAACACGUGAAAGAGAGAAAAAAGAGAGGAAAGAGGCUGCAGAGGAAACACAGUCUGUCCCCAAAUGACUUCAGCAAAUGUCUGAGACAAGAAGCUUGAACCUGCCCACCCGUAUCUUCUUUCAUCUCAGGGUACAGAUGCAUUGACAACCCUGUAAAAUAUACAGUCACAUGAACUAAUGUAUGACAUGUGUUACAGUGUUGUCGUUAAAUAUCAUAUGUUAUGACAACAUUAAAAUAUACAGUAAAAUAUUUUA